UUCGUCCAAGUGAAAUAGAGGACAGUGGCGGACGGGUGAGUAACGCGUGAGGAACCUGCCUCAUACAGGGGAAUAACAGUUGGAAACGGCUGCUAAAACCGCAUAAGCGCACGGUAUCGCAUGAUACAGUGUGAAAAACUCCGGUGGUAUGAGAUGGACCCGCGUCUGAUUAGCUAGUUGGUGAGGUAACGGCCCACCAAGGCGACGAUCAGUAGCCGACCUGAGAGGGUGAUCGGCCACAUUGGAACUGAGAUACGGUCCAGACUCC
rnacentral:rRNA from 1 species